rnacentral:rRNA from 1 species
AUGGACAAUUUCAAGAUCACUAGUUACGCCAAUGCGCUGGUGGAAAACACUAAGCUUGACUUCCAAAGCUUGUAUCUGCACAGGAUCAGGUCUGGGGAUAAGAAAAACCAGUAUGUGGUGAUAGAUGGAGUUGGUGCUACUGACAUUUGUCUCACAACCAUCAACGACUGGGCAAUAUAUGAUGGUGCGGCCGUGGACGCAAAGCUAGUUGCUCAUGCAAAAGGCAUGCAUAUGAAUGCUGCCGCUGCUGACUGCUGCAAUUUAUUCAUCAUAGUGUUCGAGCUUGACAGCUUCAAAGGAUCCACGCUUGCAGUAAUGGGAGCAACUACAGAGGAACAAGGUGAAUGGGCUAUUGUUGGUGGGACUGGUCAGUUCGCUAUGGCGCGUGGUGUCAUCCAGAGGAAAAUGCAUCAAAAAUUAGCUGAUGGACAAGGAGAUGUGUUAGAGCUUACUAUCGAGGCAUUCUGCCGCAGGAAGGGGCAGCCGGAGCCUCCGGCCACCACUCCGCAGACUCCUACCACCCAGCCGAUUCAGCCUCCUGUUCAGCCGCCUCUUGCCACCACCCAGCCCAUUCAGCCUCCUGUUCAGCCACCUCCUGCCCCCACGAAGCCGAUUCAGCCUCCUACCCCCACUCCCAUAAAGAAUGGACCAUGGGGCGGAACAACGAGUGACACACUUCAUCAUUUCAACCCAAACAUGUCUAAAGGCCUAAAGAGUGUGACAUUCAUCUAUUAUCGGGCUGUUAAUGGACUUCGUUUCAAUUAUACCGGCCAAGAUGGCUAUGAAGAAUCCAGCGAACUUUUUGGUAAUAACGGCCAGGGCCCCGACGCUAAAAGGCAAACGGUUCAUCUAGGCCCUAAGGAGUUUGUGACGGGGCUGUCAGGAACAUACCAACAUGAAGGCAGAUCAAAUAAUAUUGCUAUAUAUUCCCUUAAGCUGGUCACCAACCUCGGCAAAACUCAUGGACCUUUUGGAACUGCUAGCAUAGGCACCGGUUUCAGCUUUUUGGUGCCUCCAAACAGCAGAAUUGUGGGCUUCUUUGGGGGAUCUACCGGUUACGCCGUCAAUUCAAUUGGUGCCUACACGCUCGAAAAUUCUGCUUAG